GUCGAAUUAGAGCUGCAGCUGCCACUCUACACCACAGCCACAGCAAAGCAGGAUCCAAGCCGCAUCUGUGACCUACCACACGGCAGCUUGAAGCAUCACUGAAUCCUUAACCCAGGGAGCAGGGCCAGGGAUCGAACCUGCAUCCUCACGGACACUAUGUCAGGUUCUGAACCCACUGAGCCACAGUGUGAACUCCUAGAAUAGUGAUUCUUAAGCCUGGUUGCACAUAAUAAUUUCAUGGGUAGUUUAAUACACACACACACACACUCACACCUAUGGUCCAUCUCAAACCAAUCGAAUCAGAAAUUCAAGGUGACACACAGGCAUCUAUAUUUUCUAAAAGCUUCUCCAGAUGAUUCUAAUGUGAAGCUAGGGGCGAUACCACCAGGGUAAAAGAUGGCAAAGAAACUAUCAGUACUUCUUUAUCAAAAAAUGGCUUUAGACCUGAAGAGAAAUGAACUUCAUCAAUAAUGUUAAAAAAAUGGCUUUAGGAGUUCCGUGGUGGCCUGGUGGGUUAAGGAUCCAGCCUUGUCACUGCUGUGGCACAGGUUCAAUCCCUAGCCAUAGAACUUCUAUGUGCCAUGGGUGCGGCAAAAAAAAAAAAAAAAAAAAAAAAAGGUUUUAACAAUUAUGUGGGCAUUUUUCUAUCCUACUAAAACCGAAAAGAAAAGUCAAGUGGCAACUCAAGCGAUCCAGGUUGUACUUAAAGAAUUUCAUGAUCAAGAGAGUUAUCUGAUAGAACAGAAUUUAAGAAGACAUAAAAUUAUCUUCUCUAUGGAACAAUGUAUUUCACAGGAAGGGCAUAUUUUGGUAUUGCCAUGCUACGAAAAAUACAUGGAAAACGGCAUGACAUUGCUUUCGGGGCUUUGCACCUUCUCUGGUGAUGGUAUCCAAACCAAACAGGGCAUUAGAAAGUCACUCGAAAUGUUAACAGUUUCAAUUAUUCCAGAUCAUAAAGAAUUCUUAAUAAAAUAAGUGGGAUCAAAAGCAUGGCUUUUCUUUUCGUGCCUUUCCCAUUUUGUGCAAAAGCUAUCUCCUACCCAAGUUCUAGGGCUUCUUGCUUUCUCUUCCAAAUUUCUCCUAUAGAAAAGAAGUCGUUACUAUAGAAAUACUCACCCACCCCGAUAUUAUUUCCCGCUUGCUUAUUCUAGGGCUUCUGCACAUAGCAACCGCACAAAUCUCUG
rnacentral:lncRNA from 1 species